UACGUAGGGUGCAAGCGUUGUCCGGAAUUAUUGGGCGUAAAGAGCUCGUAGGCGGCUUGUUGCGUCGGCUGUGAAAACCCAUGGCUUAACUGUGGGCUUGCAGCCGAUACGGGGCAGGCUAGAGUUCGGUAGGGGGAGACUGGAAUUCCUGGUGUAGCGGUGGAAUGCGCAGAUAUCAGGAGGAACACCGGUGGCGAAGGCGGGUCUCUGGGCCGAUGUUGACGCUGAGGAGCGAAAGCCAGGGGAGCAAACGGG
rnacentral:rRNA from 1 species